GACGAACGCUGGCGGCAUGCCUAACACAUGCAAGUCGAACGAAGGCUUCGGCCUUAGUGGCGCACGGGUGCGUAACGCGUGGGAAUCUGCCCUUAGGUUCGGAAUAACAGUUAGAAAUGACUGCUAAUACCGGAUGAUGACGUAAGUCCAAAGAUUUAUCGCCUGAGGAUGAGCCCGCGUAGGAUUAGCUAGUUGGUGUGGUAAAGGCGCACCAAGGCGACGAUCCUUAGCUGGUCUGAGAGGAUGAUCAGCCACACUGGGACUGAGACACGGCCCAGACUCCUACGGGAGGCAGCAGUGGGGAAUAUUGGACAAUGGGCGCAAGCCUGAUCCAGCAAUGCCGCGUGAGUGAUGAAGGCCUUAGGGUUGUAAAGCUCUUUUACCCGUGAUGAUAAUGACAGUAGCGGGAGAAUAAGCUCCGGCUAACUCCGUG
rnacentral:rRNA from 1 species